GUCUAUGGUAAAUAAUUAAGACAUGAACAACAGGACGUCAUGCGCUUUCACAAAUAAUUAAAUAAUUAUACUGGUAAGCCGUGGGGAGACGUUCGUGUUGUUGUUUAAAGACGGGAAUAAAUAUUAAAAUAGUGCUAGUCUUUCCCUAAAAAUAAAUAAAAGAUGCAGUCAAGGGAGAAUUUGAGACCUAACCAGAAAAAAAACUUAAGUUGUUCCUGGGAAAAUACACGCCGUGUACUUUGAGAAGGCACAUCUCUCUCUCUCUCUCUCUCUCUCUCUCUCUCGCCAGUGGGACUCAGUGCCAUGAGGAUGUGCCCGGGACACAACUCCCCACGUGGUGACGACUCCUGUGAGCUACUUCAAACAUUACUCUCAAGCUGGCAAUAUCGCAUUCUGGUAUGCAGAGCUAACUGAUGUUGUGAGGAUUGUUAUUAGAGACCAUCAAAAUCCUUUUGCUUAUCUCUCUGAGGAGGGGUUUAUCAAGAGGUGUAGGCCGUCCAGGGAAUGAAUCCAUGAACUUUUUGAACGAGUUGAGCCACAUAUGCCAAGAGUUCAAGAAGGACGAGGCAAGAAAUUCUGGUAUUUCUAUAAUGUGCAGUCUACAAGAUAAUUGGGUUAAAUUAUCUUAGGUUAAUAUUAGGUCAGGUUAGGUUAGGUUAGACUAAAUAUAUAUUUAUAGACCGAAACUUUAAAUCUUGGAUUUUGGUCUUAGUUUAGAAGUGUAUUGGGUAUUUAUUCAAUGUUAUUCAGUGAUGCAAAAACCCCUAAGCCCACCUCCCAUGUACAAUAAUACCACCAGGCCAUAAUUACAGUGCUGUAUUAUUUUCAUUACCCAGAAUUCGUGAAUACGUACUCCAAAUUGAAAUUGGCUGGGAGUUUUUCCGGGAAAAUUUUCAACAUUUUGGGUCUGUGAACGAGUUUUCAAGGUUGAAAAUCGGGUUAAUUUUUUUGUAGAAAAUUCCGAAAAAUCUCUUAAAACAGUUUUAUUCCAGUCCUUGGAGCAAAUUCCGAGGUUAAAUAUCAGGAACAUUUUCUGGAAAUUUUUAAUAAAAUUUCCUUAAACUCUCCAAGUUUUUUCCCGGGUCCCCGAGGAUAAAAGAAUGUUUAAACACGGAAACUUUUACAUGUAACCGAAAAAUUUUAGGGAUGUGGGAUUUUUCAUGGUUUGAGAGUCUUGUUAUCUGGAAGUCUCUCAUCCCAGGAAGAGCUCUACACCAAUUAUUCCGGCUAAUGGGGAUAUCACCUGCAUGUUGUACUUUAUGGAGGGUGAUUCUCUGAAGAACUUAAAAUGUAACACAGUAAUAUAUAUCAUUAUAGGAGCCCUGUUGUUUACUAUAAUCAGGAUAAGCAAUGUUAGACAAAACAGUAAAUAAAAAAACAAAUUCUA